AUAGCACACGGGUUACAAAAAUUAAGUGAACCGGUCCCUACUGUAUCUCACAUCCUCCAAAUGUACACACUGGAUAGGCCACUAAGGUCAGCUUCCUUCAGCAAAGCAGAAACCAGGAGAAAAUGAGAAAUGUUUUGAGCCAUGUCAUGGAGAACUCAGUGCAUUACUACCAUCAGCCAAGUCAACCUGUACCUGAGAACUAGAAUGGAUGCUUUGUAAGUUAUAAACAAAGAUGAUAUGGAGAUCCGGAAUCUAAUUUCCAUAGCUGUCAUAUUAUCAUCAUCAUCAUCAUCAUGGUGUCGUUUAAACAAACAGCAACACCCUUCCGCAUCUUCUUCUUUGUCUUUUGACUCCUCCCUUUAGGGGGCGCCGCAGCGAAUCAUUGUUCUCCUUUUAACCCCCUCCUCUGCAUCCUCCUCUCUCACAGCAACCACCCUCAUGUCCUCCUCCUCUUCCUCCAUCCUUUUCCUCCUCUGAAACCAUCUCCACUUGCUUCCAUGCGUUGGAUCUCCAGAACAUCCGACAUGAUCUGUUCCUCUGAUGGAUUCAUUCCUGAUCCAUUCUGGUCUCCACCAAAGAGAACCUCAACAUCUUCGUCUGUGCUGCCUCCAGACCAACAACAUGGCUGCUCUCAUUAGUCAGGAAGCACAGAAAACAUACGGUUAAUGUCUGCAUGAAGAGACUAAAGCAUUCACAGAGCACAGAUAUGAAACUAUCGUUCCAUUUUCUAUCCAUCUACCAUUUUCCCCUGAAGGCUGACAUUCGGGGCAUUGAUUUGUCAACCCGUCUGUUUUUGGCUGAUCAAUAAUAAUAUAAAACUUCUCUAAACUCUGGUUGUGAUGAGAAAUGCCGUUUAUCAUUUAAAAAAACGUGCAAAGAAUGAUCAAACUAAGAGCAUUUAUAACAAAUAUCUCCCUGCUGCCGUUGGUGUGCAUCUGUGAGUUUUCAUCAGCAACUUCUGACCGAGAUUCCUAUAGACCUUUUUCGCAAAAACCGGAAGUACGUCAUCAACGUGUAAACCUAGUUCCGGUUUGUGCUUCGCUGGCAGAGGAAUGGCAGAGCCUAGAGUGUUUUCGAAGAGCCUGAGUUGUGUUCCGAAGUUCACCAGCACCGAUGUGAUGAGGAGUGUAAAGAUGCAUUCGUCCACUAAAGGAAACAAAUUGGACAAGGGAUAUAAAUUCGUCCACGAAGAGUUUAUCCACCAUUACCAAGAUAUCGCUGGAUGCAUUAAGUGCCAACCUGAAAGCUUUCUCCUGCAGUUGUGUGGCUGCUAAAGGAUUCUGCAAUGACAUCCUUUUGCCAUCCUGUUCCAGAGCGCACAUUAUUCACAGCUGGUUUGCAGGCUGCUCCACCCACCCUGUCCUGCACGAGUGACUUGCAAAGACGGCACAGACCAAGAGCACAGGGAAUCCAUCCUGAACCGGUUAGUGAGCUGGUGGUGCAAAGACCCA